UACGUAGGUGGCAAGCGUUGUUCGGAUUCAUUGGGCGUAAAGGGCGCGUAGGCUGCGGGGCAAGUCGGGUGUGAAAUCUCAGAGCUCAACUCUGAAACUGCACUCGAUACUGCUUUGCUCGAGGACUGGAGAGGAGAUUGGAAUUCACGGUGUAGCAGUGAAAUGCGUAGAUAUCGUGAGGAAGACCAGUGGCGAAGGCGGAUCUCUGGACAGUUCCUGACGCUGAGGCGCGAAGGCCAGGGGAGCAAACGGG
rnacentral:rRNA from 1 species